CCCUGCUACAGCAGGUAAAGUAUGAUUGUAGCAAAUGUGGGAUGAUUCUUGGACCAUUUUUCCAGAACUCAUAUUCGGAGGUCAAGGUUGGUUCGUGCCCAGAAUGCCAGUCUAAAGGACAAUUCACUGUCAAUAUUGAGUUAACAAUUUAUAAGAAUUAUCAAGAACUUACUCUGCAAGAGAGCCCGGGAAUUGUGCCUCUAGGUCGACUUCCAAGAUAGAAGGAAGUGAUACUCUUCAAUGAUCUAAUUGACAGUGCUCGCCUUGGGGAAGAGAUCGUAGAGCUUUGACUUGUAUUUAUAAUUCUUUUGUUGUUAUUUGGGUUAGUGAUUAUCUUUUGAUUUUUUCUCCUUUGUUCCAUGUAUUCUUUUAGGAGGUCAUUGGCAUUUACACAAACAACUUUGACUUGUCUUUGAACGCUAAAAAUGGAUUUCCUCUGUUUGCCAUUGUCGUUGAGGCAAACUAUGUUACAAAGAAGCAAGACCUCUUUUCAACUUACAAACUCACAGAGGAGGACAAAGAAGAGAUUUAGAAGUUAUCUAAGGAUCCAAAUAUCGGAGAAAAGAUUAUCAAGUCAAUUGCCCCCUCAAUCUAUAGCCAUGAGGAUAUAAAAACUGCAAUAGCUCUUGCGAUGUUCAGAGGUCAAGAGAAAAAUGUCCACGGGAAGCAUCGGUUGCGUGGGGACAUAAAUGUGCUCCCGCUAGGUGAUCCGGGAACAGCCAAAUCUCAGUUUCUCAAAUAAGAGAUAGCCCUAAUUCCCAGCUUAUAUAUGAAGUGACUUGGUCUCUUAAAUGUGUCAAGUUUUGAUUGUUUGAUAUUCUUCCUAAGGUAUGUUGAAAAGAUCGGCCGUAGGGCUGUCUACACAACUGGGAGGGGAGCUUCUGCUAUUGGGCUAACAGCAGCAAUGCACAAGGACCCAGUCACAUGAGAGUGGACACUUGAACGAGGAGCCCUUGUACUUGCUGACAAAGGGAUCUGCCUUAUUUGAUGAGUUUGACAAGAUGAAUGAUCAGGACAAGGUAAGCAUCCAUCAA